UGGGGAAUAUUGCACAAUGGGGGAAACCCUGAUGCAGCGACGCCGCGUGGAGGAAGAAGGUCUUCGGAUUGUAAACUCCUGUUGUUGAGGAAGAUAAUGACGGUACUCAACAAGGAAGUGACGGCUAACUACGUGCCAGCAGCCGCGGUAAAACGUAGGUCACAAGCGUUGUCCGGAAUUACUGGGUGUAAAGGGAGCGCAGGCGGGAGAACAAGUUGGAAGUGAAAUCCAUGGGCUCAACCCAUGAACUGCUUUCAAAACUGUUUUUCUUGAGUAGUGCAGAGGUAGGCGGAAUUCCCGGUGUAGCGGUGGAAUGCGUAGAUAUCGGGAGGAACACCAGUGGCGAAGGCGACCUACUGGGCACCAACUGACGCUGAGGCUCGAAAGCAUGGGUAGCAAACAGGAUUAGAUACCCUGGUAGUCCAUGCCGUAAACGAUGAUUACUAGGUGUUGGAGGAUUGACCCCUUCAGUGCCGCAGUUAACACAAUAAGUAAUCCACCUGGGGAGUACGACCGCAAGGUUGAAACUCAAAGGAAUUGACGGGGGCCCGCACAAGCAGUGGAGUAUGUGGUUUAAUUCGACGCAACGCGAAGAACCUUACCAAGUCUUGACAUCCUGCGACGGUGCUGGAAACAGAACUUUCCUUCGGGACGCAGAGACAGGUGGUGCAUGGUUGUCGUCAGCUCGUGUCGUGAGAUGUUGGGUUAAGUCCCGCAACGAGCGCAACCCUUAUGGUCAGUUACUACGCAAGAGGACUCUGGCCAGACUGCCGUUGACAAAACGGAGGAAGGUGGGGAUGACGUCAAAUCAUCAUGCCCUUUAUGACUUGGGCUACACACGUACUACAAUGGCGUUAAACAAAGAGAAGCAAGACCGCGAGGUGGAGCAAAACUCAGAAACAACGUCCCAGUUCGGACUGCAGGCUGCAACUCGCCUGCACGAAGUCGGAAUUGCUAGUAAUCGCAGAUCAGCAUGCUGCGGUGAAUACGUUCCC
rnacentral:rRNA from 1 species